UAGUAAUUAACGGAACAAGGAAACCCUGAGAUCCUCCUAAGCUAACACCAUCAAAGAAAGUGAGUCAGUACAGGUAAUCGGAAUGAAACCUCCAGGUGGUAUCCCACAAGUAAAGUGGAACACCAGGCAAACCAUCCCUGCAAAAGUCAUGUGAGCCCUCACAAAACAAAACUCAACAAACAGGUUAGAGAAACAAAAUAGGGUAACCAAGAG
rnacentral:lncRNA from 1 species